AGUGAACGCUGGCGGCGUGCCAAUACAUGCAAGUCGAACGAAACUUACUUUAUCACCGAGUGCUUGCACUCACCGAUAAAGAAGGUUGAGGUGGCGGAAACGGGGUAGGAGGUAAACAACCGUGGGGCGAACCCUAGCCCGAAAAGAAGGGGGAGUAACACUUGGAAACAGGUGCUAAUACCGCAUAACCAUAGUUACCGCAUGGUAACUAUGUAAAAGGUGGCUAUGCUACCGCUUUUGGAUGGGCCCGCGGCGCAUUAGCUAGUUGGUGGGGGUAAAGGCUUACCAAGGCAAUGAUGCGUAGCCGAACUGAGAGGUUGAUCGGCCACAUUGGGACUGAGACACGGCCCAAACUCCCACGGGAGGCAGCAGUAGGGAAUCUUCCACAAUGGGCGAAAGCCUGAUGGAGCAACGCCGCGUGGGUGAAGAAGGUCUUCGGAUCGUAAAACCCUGUUGUUAGAGAAGAAAGUGCGUGAGAGUAACUGUUCACGUUUCGACGGUAUCUAACCAGAAAGCCACGGCUAACUACGUG
rnacentral:rRNA from 1 species